rnacentral:lncRNA from 1 species
UUGAUAUUAUAUUUGAUAUAACUAGCUAGUUAGGAGUGUCAGCGCUAAAACUAUAAUUUUCUUUCAUCCGAUGUAUCAAUCAAUUUUCCACAAGAUUUUCUGGUUUUCACGACUUCCUUUUCUUGGAAUGUUUCCAAAGUUAAAAACUAAAAUGGUCAACAAACAAAAAUAGCAUACAACGUUACGUGAGUGGGAUGGGAUUGCUACGUUUAUAUAGUAUAGCAUGGGCAUUUGCAUACCCUAUUUCCAUAAAUUAAUAUUGAUAUAUAAUGUAUAUAACGACUUUCUCUUAGG